AUCAUCUAUAGAUUAACAGAUAGAUGCUUAGCAAUUGGAUUGUCUCUAAAGAUUCUAUAGUUAAAUUCUUUUUCUAUGCUAUGCCUGUGCUAGGCAUCAAAAGUCUAAUAAUUAGUUAUAUGUAAUAUUACCAUUUUUCUUCUUAGGGUUUCGUUUGCCUUCUCCUUAUAGAUGUUGAAGGGGUUGGAGGGGCAGGGGAGUUUCUGUUGUUCGUUUGUUUUGUUUUGUUUUUCAGUUACUCCGACUAAUAUUUGGUGAAUGACUGUGUAUCCUUUUAGUCAGUGCUUUGAAUGAAGGGAAGGGCUUUGGAAAAGUUUAUCCUGUCAGCAGUAACAGAAUACUAAACUGCUGUUGUGCUUAUUUAAAUGCUACCUAGCUCUGUGACGUCUUUCAGAAUUGGGACACUAAUCUCCAGUCCUUUAGGCCUUCCUGCUCACAGGACUCCCAGGCUUAGAUAGGCAGAUAUAAUCUGUCAUAUGAAAGACUUAAUUGUCAUAAAUGUGCUCAAUUACAGCUUGGAAAGAGUGCUGAUAAUUGAUCAGUUCGGGUCCCUGGUCCCCGUCUAAUUUCCAUGGUCUUCAGUUUUUAAACCUAUUGUUUUAGGAUUAUAUGUAGAUUUUUGAUGCCCUCCCCCAUGACCCUUCCCAAACAGUGGGUAUUUUCUAUGUUCUUUAAGUUGCAGUUUUAUUUUGAGUGAUACAUUGCUCUUAAUCUUACAUAUUCUUAUGCCUUUAUUAAGAGUCAUUAUUUAAACAAAGUAGAAUUUCCCAUUUUCCUGCUAUUCCUCAAGUUUUUCCUUCCCAAUCUUUAAGGGUGCUUUAGCUAUUCUCUGAGAGUUGAUGUAUCUCAGGUUUUGCUCCUAAAUCUGAAGUAUUUCUCUCAUUGGUCUCUCUAUAUGGGUAAGGUGAAUUCUCUCUUCAGCCUAGGUAGGGUGGUUCUAGACACGGAAUAUUUGUAUGUUAUGUAAUGGAGUACUGAACAUAUCUACCUGAGUGUUUCAUAAAUAUCUCAAAUUUAGUGAGCCCAGAAUGGAACCAAUCCCCAAAUGUAGAUGUAUGUCACUCAUUAAUUUUCUUUAUUCUUUUGCCUAUCUCUGAAACCUAGUUGUCUUCAGUGGCUCUUUGCCCUGAACCUCAUAUCCUAUCCUGAAUUGUCUUAACUGCUCAAGUAUCCCUUUACCUUCUAUCUACCCUGCACUGUUACUUUGAUCAGGUCUAAUCUGUGUUGCAGCUACAGUUUCCUGAAGGUUUCUACCACCUUUACUUAGUUACUGUGUCUUGGUGAACCUGAGCAGUCUGAUCCACCUGCUAUCAUCAUUCUUGCCACUUUGAAUCAUGGGGUAACUCCGGUUUCUCUUUUUGGCAUUGUUAAGCAUCCUACCCUUCUUAAUUCCUACUCUAGGAUGAAUCCCAGCUUUAUGUGCUGAAUUCCUUUUGUUUAUUCUGUCAGAAUGCUCAUGAGAGCAGAUUAAGGGUCUAAUUUGGUCUGGUCUACUCUAUCCCCACUGUCUUGCAAAUGGCCUGUACACAAGAUUGCCUAUUUGCUAAGUCAGUGAUUAAAUGAAAUAACUGUACUACUCUUUCUGUCUAAAUUUAGACACUCUAAAAAAAUGGUUUGUGUUGCUUAUCUCCAGGCAUAAAAACAUAUGACAUGACAAAGUGGUAUGUACUAUUGCUCUUAAUGCAUACUUCAAACUUUCUUUUUAAAUGUAAUUACCUAUUUUGAUUAGCAAUAUGGUCCUGUAGUUAGCAUUAAGAGAGCAUGUGCACGUAUUGAGAAGUCUCCAUCCUUUGCCUACCCCCAUUUGUCUUUUCAGUAGACAGUGUUACCAACUUCUAGUUUAGUUCAGAGCUCUGUGUGUGUCUGUCUGUCUGUCUGUCUGUCUGUGUAUCUAUAUGCAGGAGAGAUAAGUGUAAUUAUAUACAUCCCUACAGGAUAACUGUAUAAGAUGAUAACAAUUUUGUUUCGUUUUCUUUCUUUCUCUCUUUCUCCUUUUUUUUUUUUUUUUUUUUUUUUUUUUGAGACAGGGUUUCUCUGUGUAGCCCUGGCUGUCCUGGAACUCACUCUGUAGACCAGUCUGGCCUUGAACUCAGAAAUCCGCCUGCCCCUGCCUCCCAAGUGCUGGGAUUAAAGACAUGCGCCUAGUUUCAUUUUCUGAGAUGGACUCAUUACUCUGCUGUGUAGCUCAGGCUGGCCUAGAACUCGUGAUAGACCUUCUUGCCUCAGCUUCACCUGGCCUCCCUGCCCACAAGCAGUUGAAUACAUAGUGUCAUUCUUUUUCAUGAUUACAUUUUGUUAGUAACUGAAUAUACCAGUGUUUUAUUUACUCAUCUUUUAUUGAUAUAUACACUUAAAACCUUAUUUGCAGUUACUGUGUGAAGGGAGUAUAUGCAUGUGCUGUGGCGUGUGUGUGAAGGGAGUACAUGCAUGUGCUGUGGCGUGCAUGUGGCGGUCAGAAGACAAAUUGGGGAAUCUGGUUCUGUCCUUCCACUGUGUAUGUAGGUCCUGCAGUUACAACUCAGGUGGUCAGGCUUAGUGGCAAGUGCUUUGCUUUUAUCUACUUUAUCCAUCUUGCUGGCCUUUUUUUUUAUUAUAAAAGAUUAAAUCAAAAAAAGAAAAAAAAGAUUAAAUCAGUAAGGAUUAAAAUCCUUGAAGAAGAAUCAGUCGUCAAAGAAUUGUUUAUUGUCAGUUUGUUGAAACUUGCUCUUUUGCCUUCCAAUAAAGCUAAGAAUUUACCUUGCUAUGUGCAAAGUGCCUGCUUUGUUAGAUCCCCUCAUGUGGCUUUUUCUUCUAGGCAUUGUUCUUAAUGCUAACUUGGACUGGAAGCAGAAUUUCACUCUCCUUUUGAAAUACCUUCAGUUGUGUUCUAAGAUACCCCCACCCCUGGCAACUUUUGCCUUAUGACAGUUGAAACCUACGACUUCUGUACUCACUCUUUCUGUCAUAGUUGGCCUUUAGAUGCUAUGGGUAUCAGUGAUGAUUGUUGUUACUUCACCCAAAGAGCCUUUUGAUCCUUCUUUCCCUAGUCGCUCCCUCCCUCCUAGCGAAUUGAAUAUGAAUACCAUUGAUAUCUGUACGUCUGUUGAUGUGAGUGGCCCUUCAGAAUGCCACAGACAACUAUGAUAGCUGAUACAGAUUCUUCUGAGAGACAUGUUUUUCACUCCCUUUACAGCAUUAUCUUAAUGGUGAGAAAUUAUGGCAUAUUGAGAAGCUUUCUCUUGAGUUGGGCUACUCCCAGAAUACCAGCCGGCUUACUUGAUAACACUAUUAGAUAACCUCAAACUUGAUAUGUAUAAAACAGAACUCAAUAGUUUGACUUUAGCCUUUUUGUCCACACUUGAGCUUCCAUCAGUUCACUCUUCUUUUGUGUAUCUAGAUAUGAAGAAUUUUUUAUUUUACUGGAACUAUUUAAGAGCUUGAAAGAAUGUUUUUUGUCUCAAUUUGGCCAGACACUGAAUGCAGAAAUU
rnacentral:lncRNA from 1 species